AACGAACGCUGGCGGCAUGCCUAACACAUGCCAGUCGAACGAGACCUUCGGGUCUAGUGGCGCACGGGUGCGUAACGCGUGGGAACCUGCCCUUAGGUUCGGAAUAACUCCCCGAAAGGGGUGCUAAUACCGGAUAAUGUCUUCGGACCAAAGAUUUAUCGCCUUUGGAUGGGCCCGCGUUGGAUUAGCUAGUUGGUAGGGUAAAAGCCUACCAAGGCGACGAUCCAUAGCUGGUCUGAGAGGAUGAUCAGCCACACUGGGACUGAGACACGGCCCAGACUCCUACGGGAGGCAGCAGUGGGGAAUAUUGGACAAUGGGCGAGAGCCUGAUCCAGCAAUGCCGCGUGAGUGAUGAAGGCCUUAGGGUUGUAAAGCUCUUUUACCCGGGAUGAUAAUGACAGUACCGGGAGAAUAAGCUCCGGCUAACUCCGUG
rnacentral:rRNA from 1 species